GACGGAGGGUGCAAGCGUUGUUCGGAAUUACUGGGCGUAAAGGGCGCGUAGGCGGUCUGUUAAGUUCGGUGUGAAAGCCCCCGGCUCACCUGGGGAACUGCGCCGGAAACCGACAGACUCGAGUACCGGAGAGGAGGGUGGAAUUCCUGGUGUAGCGGUGAAAUGCGUAGAUAUCAGGAGGAACACCGGUGGCGAAGGCGGCUCUCUGGGACGGUACUGACGCUGAGACGCGAAAGCGUGGGGAGCGAACAGG
rnacentral:rRNA from 1 species